rnacentral:lncRNA from 1 species
GGCCAUUCGAUCUCUGCUCUAACAGUUUCAUUUCAGCAUAAAGCCUCCUCUUCAAAUCCUGAGUUUAUUAAUAUUAAUCUUUGUGUAAGAGACUUUGAAAUUGAAUAACACAUGAAACUACACUUUUUUUAAAAACUUUUUUUUUUUUAAAUCUGUGUUCAAGUAAUAACUGGAAACCCUUACAGGCCAAAAUGAUUUUGGUGUGGGUUUAGGGAUUUGUUUGUUUGUUUUCCUACAUAAGACUGCAUUUGAAGCUGUCUUUAGAAUCAACAGCCUGCAGUCACCCGGUACUUUCCAGAGAUUUCACAGAAGAUGAAGAGGGACUAAUUUCUUUCUGUGCUUUCAUGAUCAACUUACUGUGUAGAGGUAUGAAAAGUUAGUGCAGAAAGAUUCUUCAGUCAUCCUCCAGUUAAGAAGCUUAUGAUAAGAAAGUUGGUAUUUUCACCACUGGGAAAAGAUUGCUCAUCUAGGAGAGGAAACUUUCCCGUCAGCAAAGAAAACAUGAGGCCCAGGCUUGAAGUCUGCCAGAAGGCGGCUGAAGUCACAACUGCCACAUACCAGGAGCAGGGAGCAUCCUCCUGCAGGAUCACAGCUUGUGUCAAACGGACUAAAACGCAAACCCUGGUCAUCAGCCUUCCCCCUGAGCAAGCAGGAACAGAAGAGCUUCCAGAACACAAAAGCAGUGUUUCAGUUUGAGACACUGUGUAAGAACUUGAACAUCUUUUUUUCUUUCAAAUGAAUAAAUCCUAAUUAAAUUGAAAGCA